GUUACAAUGAGACGCUGUUUUCCAGGAGACAGUGAAUUUCUGCUUUUUCUGCUGCUUUGUCCUCUUCUGCAGUUUAUGCAGUGACCCACUUUGACCACACGAGGGCGCUGUUCGGCGCUUUCACUCUCUGCUAGUUGAAAUGGUUUAAUUGGAACCUGACCAGUCUGACAAGCAAAGCUGACAUGACGCCUCACUCAUCCGGACCCUAUGUGGUUCUGGAUCGGACUGCGCUUCUCUUUGUGUUCAUCAGGCGUCUCGCAUCCAGAGCGCUUCCACCUCGGCCACGCCCACCCGUGCAUAUUUUAUGCUAAUGAGCAGGUGCUGCGCUUCUUGAGGCGCGCGGCGGCCGCUCGGGAUGAGCCGGAUGGAGCAGCGCAGGGAGCAGCGGGAGUCCAGCUGCAGGGGUUUCAUCAGGUGAUGCUGACUGCGGGUCCGCGAACCACGAAUGGAUCCCUCCUCAAGACGCCUUCACCUCAUAUCGCUGUAUUUUAUUCUGAUUUAUCAAGCACAUUUUUCCAGGGCUGUUGAGAGAGUAAACGUUUCUAACUGGGAUGAAUUUACCAGGGGCAGCAGGAUAAAGCAGCAGAAAUGGGACACCGCUUCCCAGGGAGAGCAGGUAGGCAGCUGCAUUGAUCAUUGAUGCUGAUGGAGCUGCUACAGGCGGCAAACACACAGUCAACACUCGCAGUGAAACACGGAGCAGGGGAACCAGCGCACCAACCUCACGCCGACUUUCCUCACUUUGUUUCUUGCACGUUUAGAUUCACGGAGCAAAUCAUCGAAUGCAUAGACUGGAAACGGACAUUGUUCUUUUCAUAUUCAUAGAAUCAGGUCCGUGAGAGAGUCUCAGCAGAAAUAGCGGCUCUGUUGUCAGGUUUGGCCUUUUGUCCAAGAGAAUUGGGUCCAAACCAUACGAGCUAGCGAACUAACAAAGCGAUUGUCAGCAAAGGUCAAAGGUCAGAGAAGCAGAUCUCAUGUCAGAUCAGUCAGUGCAGUGUAACAUAUGGGUGUUUAAGUUUCAGCAUCACUGGUCAGUGGUUAAUAAUUCAUAGUGACAUGCUCCUCAGACCCCAACUGUUCACUGCUACCAUCUGCUCUGUUCAUGCUGAGAUGAAAGCCUUGGUUUGAGAGCUCAGGUGUCCAUCAGGCCCAAAGUCCAGGAACAAUGUCCGACUCAUACCUAUAUUAUUAACCCGGUCCUCCGUGUGCCUCUUCCCCUGUUCAAACCUUCGUCUGCAUCUUCUGCAGCAGCAGUUUGUAAAGCAAACGACGCGUAGACGCUCACUUGUUUCAGCAAACAUCUCAAGCUCAGAUCUGUAAAUGCUAAAUGCCAGUAAGGUGAUGAUGGGAUGGAAGCUGUGCUGGAGUCAUUCAGGACGUCCACCCUCCACUGUCUCGCUUCCAUCCUCACUAAUUUGCACCCUGUUCGGCUACAGUUUGGCUAAUUCUCGGAUGAAUUCUUGUCCCAGAAAAGACACAGACUUCUACGUGUCUGAUGUUUUAAUCAAAUCUUAAAUUUUUUACUAAUCUGUCAUCGGAUAACUGAGCUGCUUUUGCAGGU
ensembl:lncRNA